AAACAUCAAUUAUAAGUGAAUAAGAAAUCCCACAAUAGCCAAAGCAAUUGUAAAAAUGACAUCAUUGAAGGUCACUUACUUUCCAGUUUGAAAAUUUAUUUUAAGGAAAUUCCAAGAUUCCUACCAUAUUACCGUGUCUGGGUCUGAUGCUUGCUCUGUCUCUACCCAUUGUACAUUUUGCCUUUAGUAUGCCUUGUAAUUUUUUCUUGUAGCCAGACAUGAUAUAUGAGAUAACCAAAAUUGCUUGAAAUAGGCCUUUAGUAAUGCGGCGGCGAGGUGUUGGGGAAGGAAAGCAUUAUUCUAUAGUUUUGUGAUUAGGUCUUUCAGUGGAUAUGUGCCAUUGGACUUGGAGCUUAACAAAUGGUUCUUGUUUUUUAAUUCCCCCUUAGGUGGGAAGAAAGGUGGAGUUGGCUAUAUCCUGCUCCCACAUGGAAAGCUAGAGCAGAUUGCUUUCCCCUGGAGUUUUCAGAUCUCAGCGUUGUCCACACAGCUUCCAGCAAUUCAUCAAUUACAGUGCAAGUUUUCCUACCCUAGCACUGAUUCCUGCGGUGGUUUCCUGAGUGUCUGCUCUGAACCCAGAGAAAUGGUGUUACCUGGCGAGAGAUCUUCUGUCUUUUAUGAAAAAUUAGACAAAGGUAAUGCUUAUUUCAAAUUGGUAUUUUUUUCAGUCUGUAUAACUCUGAUACAUAAAACUAGUUGGCUUUCCCUGAUUAUUGAUUUUAGAUAUUGAAUUACCCAUCAAAAAAGUAAAUUAUUAUCUGAAAAGUCAAGGGAAGGCUUUACAAUGAUCAUCAGAUUGAUAAAGUGAACAGAACAUUUUUAGAUAAAUAAUAGCUUUCCAAAACAUUUUGGGUAAUGGUUAAUUUUCUGAUACCAUUUUGAAAUUUAUAUUAAUAUAUAAAUAGAUCUUGGCUAUAAGAUUGCAGUCUCUUUGGAAAGAACUCCAAUUGGUUUAUCAUAUUUACAAAUGAUAGAUGAUAACAGCAUUAGACACUUGUUAAGGUACAAUAACAAGUACCUUUAUGCAGCAUUAGUAAGAUGACUAUGUAUUUUUCGAAUAUACAAAAAAAUUUCAAUAUGAAUUACUAGAAAAUGUCAUCAAGCUUUAUGAAGACAUCCUCAUGCAAAAUACAUACUUUCUUUGGGAAGAUUGAAUUAUAUCAUACAGUUGUUGAAUAGCAUGCCUGAUUAUGCUUAACAGAUUGCAUAUUUACUUGCUAAAUUUCCAAAUCGCUAUGUGAUUUAUUUACAUAUGUUGUCCUAAGAAUAUGAAAACUCAUGCAAAUAUUCUAAUGACAUAUGCAUGUAUACAAAGUGUGAGUAUAGCUGCAGAUAAAUAAUGUGUGUGUGUUUUAUGAAUAAAGCUAUCUCAAAAGAGGUUUUUAAAGAAAAA
rnacentral:lncRNA from 13 species